GAGGAAAGAGGGAGGAGGGAAGAAUACAGGAAAGUCGAGCGAACAGACGAGGAGCUUGCUCCUCUGACGUUAGCGGCGGACGGGUGAGUAACACGUGGAUAAAAUACCUAUAAGACUGGGAUAACUUCGGGAAACCGGAGCUAAUACCGGAUAAUAUAUUGAACCGCAUGGUUCAAUAGUGAAAGACGGUUUUGCUGUCACUUAUAGAUGGAUCCGCGCCGCAUUAGCUAGUUGGUAAGGUAACGGCUUACCAAGGCAACGAUGCGUAGCCGACCUGAGAGGGUGAUCGGCCACACUGGAACUGAGACACGGUCCAGACUCCUACGGGAGGCAGCAGUAGGGAAUCUUCCGCAAUGGGCGAAAGCCUGACGGAGCAACGCCGCGUGAGUGAUGAAGGUCUUCGGAUCGUAAAACUCUGUUAUUAGGGAAGAACAAAUGUGUAAGUAACUAUGCACGUCUUGACGGUACCUAAUCAGAAAGCCCCGGCUAACUACGUC
rnacentral:rRNA from 1 species